CCCUUAGAUGUUCUGGGCUGCACGCGCGCUACACUGAUGCACUCAACGAGUUUACGACCUUGCCCGAUAGGGUUGGGUAAUCUUUUUAAAAUGCAUCGUGAUGGGGAUAGAUUAUUGCAAUUAUUAAUCUUCAACGAGGGAUUCCUAGUAAGCGCGAGUCAUCAGCUCGUGCUGAUUACGUCCCUGCCCUUUGUACACACCGCCCGUCGCUCCUACCGAUUGAGUGCUCAGGUGAAUAAUUCGGACUGCAGCAAUGUUUGGAUCCCGAACGUUGCAGCGGAAAGUUUAGUGAACCUUAUCACUUAGAGGAAGGAGAAGUCGUAACA
rnacentral:rRNA from 1 species